rnacentral:tRNA from 1 species
GGGCCUAUAGCUCAAUUGGCUAGAGCUCCCGGCUCAUAACCGGAUGGUUCCAGGUUCAAGUCCUGGUGGGCCCACCA